rnacentral:rRNA from 1 species
GAGCACGUAGGUGGGUUUGUAAGUCAGAUGUGAAAACCUUCUGUUCAACGGAAGAAUUGCAUCUGAAACUACAAACCUUGAGUAUAGGAGGGGAGAGUGGAACUUCUGGUGGAGCGGUGAAAUGCGUAGAUAUCAGAAGGAACGCCGGCGGCGAAAGCGACUCUCUGGCCUAUAACUGACACUGAGUGUGCGAAAGCUAGGGGAGCAAACGGGAUUAGAUACCCCGGUAGUCCUAGCCGUAAACGAUGGGCACUAAGUAGAGGGGUUUU